AACACGUGAGUAACCUGCCCUUGACUCUGGGAUAAGCCUGGGAAACUGGGUCUAAUACCGGAUACGACCGCUCACCGCAUGGUGUGGUGGUGGAAAGCUUUUGCGGUUUUGGAUGGACUCGCGGCCUAUCAGCUUGUUGGUGGGGUAAUGGCCUACCAAGGCGACGACGGGUAGCCGGCCUGAGAGGGUGACCGGCCACACUGGGACUGAGACACGGCCCAGACUCCUACGGGAGGCAGCAGUGGGGAAUAUUGCACAAUGGGCGCAAGCCUGAUGCAGCGACGCCGCGUGAGGGAUGACGGCCUUCGGGUUGUAAACCUCUUUCAGUAGGGAAGAAGCGCAAGUGACGGUACCUGCAGAAGAAGCGCCGGCUAACUACGUGCCAGCAGCCGCGGUAAUACGUAGGGUGCAAGCGUUAAUCGGAAUUACUGGGCGUAAAGCAUGCGCAGGCGGUUAUGUAAGACAGUUGUGAAAUCCCCGGGCUCAACCUGGGAACUGCAUCUGUGACUGCAUAGCUAGAGUACGGUAGAGGGGGAUGGAAUUCCGCGUGUAGCAGUGAAAUGCGUAGAUAUGCGGAGG
rnacentral:rRNA from 1 species